rnacentral:misc_RNA from 1 species
AAGUCGUAACAAGGUUCCCUUCUGCAGCGCAGCUCCGGAGACCUUGCACCCCUUAUGGGAGGCAGCACGACGAUAAACAAAGCUCGCCGCGUGCAAGUUGGCCGCACGGUCAGCAACACAAUCGAAUUGACGGGGACCUCCUAAAGCCUGCAACACCAACCGUCCGGGGAAACUCGGGCGGGGCCCUCACGGGGUGGUAAGAGAGUGCAGGAUGAACAAUGGACGAUCCGCAGCGAAGACCCUACCGGCGAGAGCCCACGGGUACCGUUCACAGACUAAGUGAUUGUGGGCGUGGCGUCAGGCCCCGUCUAAGAUAUAGUCGGUCUCUGCUCGAAAGGGCAGAGCCUAGCGCGUCCGUAGGUGAACCUGCGGAAGGAUCAUUAAAGAAUCGCCCCGUUUUUUGAAAUGGGUUCUAUUCCCAAACCGUGUAUACAUACCUUUGUUGCUUUGGCAGGCCGCCUUCUAGGCGUCGGCUCCGGCUGACCGCGCCUGCCAGAGGACCCAAACUCUUUUGUUUAGUGAUGUCUGAGUACUAUAUAAUAGUUAAAG